AUUGAACGCUGGCGGCAUGCUUUACACAUGCAAGUCGAACGGUAACAGGGAGCUUGCUCCGCUGACGAGUGGCGAACGGGUGAGUAAUGCAUCGGAACGUACCGUGUAAUGGGGGGAUAACGUAGCGAAAGUUACGCUAAUACCGCAUACGCCCUGAGGGGGAAAGUGGGGGACCGCAAGGCCUCACGUUAUACGAGCGGCCGAUGUCGGAUUAGCUAGUUGGUGGGGUAAAGGCCUACCAAGGCGACGAUCCGUAGCGGGUCUGAGAGGAUGAUCCGCCACACUGGGACUGAGACACGGCCCAGACUCCUACGGGAGGCAGCAGUGGGGAAUUUUGGACAAUGGGCGAAAGCCUGAUCCAGCCAUGCCGCGUGCGGGAAGAAGGCC
rnacentral:rRNA from 1 species